AUGUCGGAAUAUAUCCGGGUAACGGAAGACGAGAAUGACGAGCCCAUUGAAAUUCCAUCGGAAGACGACGGGACGGUGCUGCUGUCCACGGUCACGGCCCAGUUUCCCGGGGCCUGCGGGCUCCGCUACCGGAACCCCGUGUCGCAGUGCAUGCGCGGGGUCCGGCUGGUGGAGGGCAUUCUGCACGCCCCGGACGCCGGCUGGGGCAACCUGGUGUAUGUGGUCAACUACCCCAAAGAUAACAAAAGGAAAAUGGAUGAAACAGAUGCUUCAUCAGCAGUGAAAGUGAAAAGAGCCGUCCAGAAAACAUCUGAUUUAAUAGUGUUGGGUCUCCCGUGGAAGACAACUGAGCAGGAUCUAAAAGAAUAUUUUAGUACCUUUGGAGAAGUUCUUAUGGUUCAGGUCAAGAAAGAUAUUAAAACUGGUCAUUCAAAAGGGUUUGGGUUUGUCCGAUUUACGGAAUAUGAAACCCAGGUGAAAGUAAUGUCACAGAGACAUAUGAUAGAUGGCCGAUGGUGUGACUGUAAACUCCCUAAUUCUAAGCAAAGCCCGGAUGAGCCUCUGCGAAGCAGAAAGGUGUUUGUUGGGCGUUGUACAGAGGACAUGACGGCUGAUGAGCUGCGGCAGUUCUUUUGCCAGUACGGAGAAGUGGUAGAUGUCUUCAUUCCCAAACCAUUCAGGGCUUUUGCCUUUGUUACAUUUGCAGAUGAUCAGGUUGCCCAGUCUCUUUGUGGAGAGGACUUGAUCAUUAAAGGAAUCAGCGUACAUAUAUCCAAUGCUGAACCUAAGCACAAUAGCAAUAGACAGUUAGAAAGAAGUGGAAGAUUUGGUGGUAAUCCAGGUGGCUUUGGGAAUCAGGGUGGAUUUGGUAACAGUAGAGGGGGCGGGGCUGGCUUGGGAAAUAACCAAGGGAGUAACAUGGGUGGCGGGAUGAACUUCGGUGCUUUCAGCAUUAACCCGGCGAUGAUGGCUGCCGCCCAGGCAGCGCUGCAGAGCAGCUGGGGUAUGAUGGGCAUGUUAGCCAGUCAGCAGAACCAGUCGGGCCCAUCAGGUAAUAACCAAAGCCAAGGCAACAUGCAGAGGGAGCCCAAUCAGGCCUUUGGGUCUGGAAAUAACUCUUACAGUGGUUCUAAUUCAGGGGCAGCCAUUGGUUGGGGAUCAGCUUCAAAUCCAGGGUCAGGCAGUGGCUUUAAUGGAGGCUUUGGCUCAAGCAUGGAUUCUAAACCUUCUAGCUGGGGAAUGUAGACAGUGGAUGACGGUUGGUUGUACAGACUGGUGGGAAUUCAAAUUUUUCUAAUCUCAUGGUAAGUAUAUUGUAAAAUACAUAUGUACUAAGAAUUUUCAAAAUUGGUUUGUUCAGUGUGGAGUAUAUUCAGCAGUAUUUUUGACAUUUUCUUUAGAAAAAGAGGAAGAAUUAAAGGAAUUUUAUAAGUUUUGUUACAUAAAGGGUUGAAAUACUGAGUGUUUGAAAGUGAACUGCUGUUUGCCUGAUUGGUAAACCAACACACUACAAUUGAUAUCAAAGGGUUUCUCCUGUAAUAAUUUAUCCCUGGACUCGUCAAGUGAAUUCUUUGCAUGUUCAAAACAGAAACCAUUAAUAAGAGCUACAUUCUUUUCUUUUAAUUUGAACCCCACCAUAUGGAUUUUUUCCUUAGGAAGAUCUCCUUUCUGGAGAUCAUGGUGUCACAGUGUUUGGUUCUUUUGUUUUUGUUUAACACUUGUCUCGGUUCAUGUGCAAAAGUACAGUAUGAAGCCGUCAUUUAAUCUCUGCAGUUCAUCUCAUUUCAAAUGUGUGCGGAAGAAGCACUCACUGAAAGUAGUGCUGUAAAUACUCUGCCGUAGGAAUGCUCUGUCUACGUGCUUUCUCAUUCAAGAUUUCGUCAUCACACUGCACAGGCUGCGUCUCUGACGGUGGGUGUCCCAUUUUUAUCCGCUACUCUUUAUUUCAUGGAGUCGUAUCAACGCUAUGAACGCAAGGCUGUGAUAUGGAACCAGAAGGCUGUUUGAACUUUUGAAACCUUGUGUGGGAUUGAUGGUGGUGCCGAGGCAUGAAAGGCUAGUAUGAGCGAGAAAAGGAGAGAGCGCGUGCAGAGACGGUGGUGCAAAAUGGAUAUUUUUUAACUUGGCGAGAGGUGUCUCUCCAUCCUGUGGCUUUGGUGAGAGAGUGUGCAGAGAGCAAUGAUAGCAAAUAACGUACGAAUGUUUCUUGCAUUCAAAGGACAUCCACAUCUGUUGGAAGACUUUAAGUGAGUUUUGUUCCUAGACAACCCACAUUAGCUGAAUGUGUUAAGUGAAACGAUACUUGUAUUUCCCCUCUCCCUUUGUCAACUGCUGUGAAUGCUGUAUGGUGUGUGUUCUCUUCUGUUACUGAUCUGUAAGUGUGGUCAUGUGAACUGAAGCUGGUGGGUUGAGAACAUGGACUGAGCUUGUGGCGUGCUUUGCAGGAGUACUUGGAAGCAGAGCUCACCAGUGAGCUGGGGGUGUCUCAAAGAAGGGUGGGCGUUCUAAUGUCUGUCAGCCACCCCUAAGAAUGCUGUUUGCUGCAGUUCUGUGUCCUGUGCUUGGAUGCUUUUUAUAAGAGUUGUCAAUGUUGGAAAUUCUUAAAUAAAACUGAUUUAAAUAAUAUGUGUCUUUGUUUUGCAGCCCUGAAUGCAAAGAAUUCAUAGCAGUUAAUUCCCCUUUUUUGACCCUUUUGAGAUGGAACUUUCAUAAAGUUUCUUGGCAAUAGUUUAUUUUGCUUCAAAUAAACUUAUUUGAAAAGUUGUCUCAAGUCAAAUGGAUUCAUCACCUGUCAUGCAUUGACACCUGAUACCCAGACUUAAUUGCUAUUUGUUCUUGCAUUGUCCAAAGUGAAAAGUUGUUUUGUUUUUUCUUUUUAAACCUGUCUUUUAAUAAGUCUGGGUGACCGCACCUAAAAUGCACUUGCACUCUUACUCAGCAGCAGUAACAUGGUAACACUUAAAAUGGUAUUCGGGGACCUCCAAAGACUAAACUGACAAGCCUUCAAGGAGCGCAGGGUUGUAAGGCCAAAAUAAUCAAAUGACUGAUGCAGUCAGCACCUAACAACCUCUCCACAUGGAAAGGGGAUAAUGAGGACGUAUUAUUUGGAAAUAAUAACUGGGUCUAAGAGCCAAGUACCGAAGUUACAUUUCUGCCUACCACAGCUAAAGCUCUACUUAUUGUCUCCGACCCAUUCCACUUUCCAUCAAUUACGAAUCUCUUGUAUGAAUGUGUCCAUUACCAGGCUCACAGACCGGGAGUGAUGUUUCUCCUUUGGAGCUCGUCCAGAAUCCAUCAGCCUCACACACGUAUUUACCUGCAAAUCAUUGGAAAAGCAAAAAUGUUUAACUGCAUGUAUGAGGUGGUUGUCGUUUGCUUGAAUACCCCCUUAAAAAUGUUGAUUCCUGAGCAUCCGUGGGAAAUAGAGGUGUCUGAAUAACCAUUUUACAUGAUUUCCUAAACGGGAGGUCUCGGCAUUACCAUGUUUGCUUGCAAAGUGGAAACCUUUUAGAUGUGUAACUUGAAUAUGUAUCAAGAUCUCAAGUGCUUAAUGAUAAGGUUUUGACUUGUUAAAUUAAACCAUUUGGAAUAUA